UUAAAAUUAUUAGAUAAUAUCGAAUAGAUAAAUAGCAAUUCAGGCAAUGUACGACACCAUACGUCAUUUAUACAAUUACCAAUCAUUGAAAAUUUGGAACCUAACAAGUCUUCAUUACCGAUAAAUUUAAAGCCAGGCUUUGUAAAACUGGAUAGACCUUAUAUAAUUAGCAACCAUGCAGUAACCAAUUGGGUAAUUGCUGGGAAUAAUGAUGUUAGUAUGGAGCUAGAGUUUCAAAUGCCCACUUCUGAAAAAAACAUUACCAGCAUUGAAGGUAUAUCUGCCAUGUUUUAUAUUAUUUCUAAAAUACUCAUUUUUUUGUUUCUUUUUUAGAAUGUUUUGAAAUAGAGAAUAUUAAAGCAUCUUCCCAGGAAGUAACAGAAUCGACAGAUUCUGUGACCCAAUCGCCUAAUAAAAAUCAAGAGGUUCGCUGCAUUGAUGAAGGUGAUAUUGUUCAAUUUGUCAAUAAAAAUCUUGAAAGUGAACAUGACAAUGAUACGAAUAGUGAAGAUAUUCCUCUAAAUCGUCUAUCUUCUAGGGUUCAGGUUAAAGAUACAAAUCAAAAAGAAACGGCUACCUUUUGUAAAAGAAGGAAAUUUGAUACCAAUCUCAAGAGUCGAAAAUUGUUAGCAGCAAAAAAAAACGCGCUGAAAAUCAUGCAGUCUUGGCUGAAAAAACUACAAAAAAAAAUGUUCGUCGCUUAUUUUAAAUGAAGUAAGAAAAUCAAUAAAUAGUCAAUUUUGGAAAUUGUCUAAAAGUGAGCAAAAGGCAUUUAUACUCAAUACAUUAGGAGUAAAACGAAGAACUGUUACAAGUGAUAAAUUUAUCAAGCAAAAUACGUUUAUGUAUU